rnacentral:rRNA from 1 species
GAUGAACGCUGGCGGCGUGCCUAAUACAUGCAAGUCGAGCGAACAGACGAGGAGCUUGCUCCUCUGACGUUAGCGGCGGACGGGUGAGUAACACGUGGAUAACCUACCUAUAAGACUGGGAUAACUUCGGGAAACCGGAGCUAAUACCGGAUAAUAUAUUGAACCGCAUGGUUCAAUAGUGAAAGACGGUGUUGCUGUCACUUAUAGAUGGAUCUGCGCCGCUUUAGCUAGUUGGUAAGGUAACGGGUUACCAAGGCAACGAGGCGUAGCCGAACGGAGAGGGUGGUCGGCCACAUUGGAACGGGGACACGGUCCAUACGCCUACGGGAGGCAGCAGUAGGGAAUCUGCCGCAAUGGGCGAGAGCAUGACGGAGCAACGCCGCGUGAGUGAUGAAGGUCUUCGGAUCGUAAAACUCUGUUAUUAGGGGAGAACAAAUGUGUAAGUAACUAUGCACGUCUUGACGGUACCUAGUCAGAAAGCCACGGCUAACUACGUG